rnacentral:rRNA from 1 species
CUCAUACUAGGGAAUAGCCCGAAGAAAUUUGGAUUAAUGCCCUAUAGUAUCUUUUUAAGGCAUCUUAUUAAGAUUAAAGGUUACGGUAUGAGAUGAGUAUGCGUUCUAUUAGCUAGUAGGUGUGGUAACGGCACACCUAGGCUACGAUAGAUAGGGGCCCUGAGAGGGGGAUCCCCCACACUGGUACUGAGACACGGACCAGACUCCUACGGGAGGCAGCAGUAAGGAAUAUUGGUCAAUGGACGAAAGUCUGAACCAGCCAUGCCGCGUGCAGGAUGACUGCCCUAUGGGUUGUAAACUGCUUUUAUAUAGGAAGAAAAACUUUCUCGUGAGAAAGCUUGACGGUACUAUAAGAAUAAGGAUC